UACGUAGGGGGCAAGCGUUGUCCGGAUUUACUGGGCGUAAAGAGCGUGUAGGCGGCCAAAACAGGUCCGUUGUGAAAACUGGAGGCUCAACCUCCCAGACGCGGCGGAAACCAUCUGGCUAGAGUCCGGAAGAGGAGAGUGGAAUUCCUGGUGUAGCGGUGAAAUGCGCAGAUAUCAGGAAGAACACCCGUGGCGAAGGCGGCUCUCUGGGACGGUACUGACGCUGAGACGCGAAAGCGUGGGGAGCGAACAGGAUAG
rnacentral:rRNA from 1 species